rnacentral:rRNA from 1 species
AUUGAACGCUAGCGGCAUGCCUUACACAUGCAAGUCGAACGGCGUGGCGAACGGGUGAGUAAUGUAUCGGAACGUGCCCAGUAGCGAGGGAUAACUACGCGAAAGCGUAGCUAAUACCGCAUACUAUUGGAGCGGCUGAUAGUGGAUUAGCUAGUUGGUGGGGUAACGGCUCACCAAGGCGACGAUGCGUAGCUGGUUUGAGAGGACGACCAGCCACACGGGGACUGAGACACGGCCCAGACUCCUACGGGAGGCAGCAGUGGGGAAUGUUGGACAAUGGGGGAAACCCUGAUCCAGCCACGCCGCGUGUGCGAUGAAGGCCUUCGGGUUGUAAAGCACUGUUGGCAGGAAAGCGGUACCUGCAGAAUAAGCACCGGCUAACUACGUGCCAGCAGCCGCGGUAAUUC